UUCCGUGCCGGACCGUGUACAANUCCCUUGGAACAGGGCGUCAUANAGGGUGAGAAUCCCGUCCAUGACACGGACUCCCGGUGCUCUGUGAUACACCUUCAAAGAGUCGAGUUGUUUGGGAAUGCAGCUCAAAACGGGUGGUAAAUUCCAUCUAAAGCUAAAUACAGGCGAGAGACCGAUAGCGAACAAGUACCGUGAGGGAAAGAUGAAAAGAACUUUGGAAAGAGAGUUAAACAGUACGUGAAAUUGUUGAAAGGGAAACGCUUGAAGUCAGUCGCGUUUGCCAGGACUCAGCCUUGCUUCUGCUUGGUGCACUUCCUGGUGGAUGGGCCAGCAUCGAUUUUGGUCGCCGGAAAAGGGCGGGAGGAAUGUGGCAGCUUGCUGUGUUAUAGCCUCCCGUCGUACACGGUGGUUGGGAUCGAGGACUGCAGCACGCCUUUUGGUCGGGGUUCGCCCACGCCACGUGCUUAGGAUGCUGGCGUAAUGGCUUUAAACGACCCGUCUUGAAACACGGACCAAGGAGUCUAACAUGCCUGCGAGUGUUUGGGUGUCAAACCCAGGCGCGUAAUGAAAGUGAAAAGUUGGGACUCUUUAGUGAGGCACCGACGCCCGAUCCUGACGUUUUNUGACGGAUUUGAGGCAGAGCAUGUAUGUUGGGACCCGAAAGA
rnacentral:rRNA from 1 species